rnacentral:rRNA from 1 species
UGGGGAAUUUUGCACAAUGGGGGAAACCCUGAUGCAGCGACGCCGCGUGAUUUAGAAGGCCUUCGGGUUGUAAAAAUCUUUUCUAUGGGAAGAAAAUGACAGUACCAUAGGAAUAAGGACCGGCUAAUUACGUGCCAGCAGCCGCGGUAAUACGUAAGGUCCGAGCGUUGUCCGGAAUCAUUGGGCGUAAAGGGUACGUAGGCGGGUAAGCAAGUUAGAAGUGAAAUCCUAUAGCUCAACUAUAGUAAGCUUUUAAAACUGCUCAUCUUGAGGUAUGGAAGGGAAAGUGGAAUUCCUAGUGUAGCGGUGAAAUGCGCAGAUAUUAGGAGGAAGACCGGUGGCGAAGGCGACUUUCUGGCCAUCACCUGACGCUGAGGUACGAAAGCGUGGGUAGCAAACAGG